ACACACACAGGUGAGGCGGAAGAGCAGGGGGUCCUCCGCCUCCGAUCCGCGAUCGCCGCUCGCCGGCUCGUGGAGCGAGGUGCACGCGGCACGCCGUAUGGGAGGAAGGCGGCGCGGGCACGCGGGAAGGGGUGGGCGCGCGGAGGACGGUGCAGGCGCUCCAGGAACGGCCGGCCGGCCGGCCGAGGAUGGCGGCGAGCUGGCUCCGUCCGUGAGCGCAGCUGACCAAUGACAGAUUAUCGUGGACACGCUUCCCAAUCUCAAAUCUCCUAAAUGCCAUACGAGCAUCUACUGAAGCGCCUAGUAUUGCUAGGACAUGCUUAAUUCGAAAUAAGCAGGAUGAAUGAGGAAUCUUGAAGCACAUCAGGUCACAGAAUUGAAUGAUACCACCUUGUCAGUGUAACAAACAUGUGUCCUUGGAUCCCACAUGCCAUUCAACAGUGGAUGAUAAAAUGGUGCCCUUCAGCUGUGCAUUCAUCUGCUGAUGCAUCUUGUAUCCAGGACAGGCUUAAUAAGGAAUUUUCCAAGAGUGGCAUGUGGAAUGAUCAGCGAGCAAUGUGUACAAACAUCAGCAGUUCACGAUACGGCUUUAGGUUGGUGAGCUGUAUCAAAAGUUUGCGCUUUGAGCUGUUUUGCAGGAUUUCAUAUUCUGAACUUGCUAUGCAGUAUUAUGCAUCCUUUUAGCAUGAAAAAAAGGGCUACUCUGUACCAUGUUGAAUAAUGCAUUAAUGCAGAGUGUGAGAGUUUAAUUAGAACUUAUGAUGGAUGUGUAAUUGGUUCAAUAUACACACUGUAGAAGAUUUGAUUGUUAACUUUGUGUUUUCUCUUUCCAAAAUUUGAAUAUAUUCUAAUCAAGGUUAGGCA